GCCAUCUUAGCUCAAUGGUAGAGCACAUGGCUCAUUUGAGCCAUGUAGCUGUGGGUUCAAUUCCCACAGAUGGCG